rnacentral:lncRNA from 1 species
GCGGAACCAGGACAACGAAGAUGAGUGGCCCCUGGCCGAGAUCCUGAGCGUGAAGGACAUCAGUGGCCGGAAGCUUUUCUACGUCCAUUACAUUGACUUCAACAAACGUCUGGAUGAAUGGGUGACGCAUGAGCGGCUGGACCUAAAGAAGAUCCAGUUCCCCAAGAAAGAGGCCAAGACCCCCACUAAGAACGGACUUCCUGGGUCCCGUCCUGGCUCUCCAGAGAGAGAGGUGAAACGGAAGGUGGAGGUGGUUUCACCAGCAACUCCAGUGCCCAGCGAGACAGCCCCGGCCUCGGUUUUUCCCCAGAAUGGAGCCGCCCGUAGGGCAGUGGCAGCCCAGCCAGGACGGAAGCGAAAAUCGAAUUGUUUGGGCACUGAUGAGGAACUCACCACAUUGCCUGUCCUCUACCUGUGCGAGUUCUGCCUCAAGUACGGCCGUAGUCUCAAGUGUCUUCAGCGUCAUUUGACCAAGUGUGACCUACGACAUCCUCCAGGCAAUGAGAUUUACCGCAAGGGCACCAUCUCCUUCUUUGAGAUUGAUGGACGUAAGAACAAG